rnacentral:ncRNA from 1 species
UAGUUAGAACAAGGUCAGUCAGAGAAACUGUAAGAAAACACUCUUGGCCAGACUGUCCUUUCUGCUGGAAUAGUGUCCACUGAAAAUAGCACUACUACUACUACUACUACUACUACUACUACUACUACUUAAAAAACCCAAACCAACAAAACCCAAUGAUUUAGCAUGCACUCAUUGAGAAUUUUGAUACAUUUUUCUGAAGAAAUCCAAGUGUUCAAAGCUGGCUGGCCAAGAGUGCACCCCAGCCAGGAAUAACAGAAUAGGACUCUGGCUCUUUUUUUGUUGUUUUUUGGAAGCAGGGCCAUGAUUAAGAGCAAUGGCUGUGGGCAUUCAUAUUGUGCCACUUGAACAGGAAUUCUUGGACCGGUGCAAGAUGAACUAAAGCAAAAGCAUUUUCCAAGAUUGUUUUCAUUAAUCAA